UUGAAUGAUUAAGAGGCUAAUAAACUGUCUCUGCCAUUGUUUUAACGUUGAGGUAUAACAACGCCGAGUCAUCGUUUCGUUCGUCAUUUUUCAUUGGCGUUUCGAUUGUUUCUCGUCUACAU